UGUGGCAGGGUCUGGGGAGCUGAGGCUCUGGGAGUGGCCGGAGCUGACUCUGGGCCUCUGCUCCCCAGUGUCUGACCGCG
ensembl:miRNA MIR939 microRNA 939